CAGAAGACAAUAUAUAUAGUGGCUUAAUUGACAUAAUUCCACCUCAACCAAGGAGAACAAUUAAAAAUAAAUAGGAAAGCAAACUACUUUUACACUCACAAAACACAACCAAAGAAAUAACAAAUGCUAGAGACCAAAUUUGACCAAAAUUUUUUAUCUAUCAACAUUAUUUCCAACAAUUUUAGGAUAGAAUAGAAGAGUAAGAUAAGAACAUAAUAGUAUAAUAUAAGUGCAGGAUAAGAAGCAGUAGUCCUAUAUAAUGGUGUUGGUGGUGAUGGUGAUAAUGGAAGUGGUAGAGGAGAUAGUGGUGGCAACAACGGUGACAAUUACAACAAUAUCAGUAACAAGAUUAUAGCAACAUUAAUGGUGGUGACGUUGAGAGUGGAGGUAACAAUGGUAAUAAUAACAUAGUUGUUGUGGGAGUCAUAACAACAAUGGCAAAACUCCUAGUAAUGAUAACAAUGGUGGAGGAGGUUGUAGUUGUUGUGGCAACAAUAAAGGUGGUUGUGGUGGUGGUGAUAAUGACGAUGACAGAAGUAGCAACUGGUAGUCGUGAUGGUGUAGCGAUAGUUGCUGCAAUAGAGAUGUGAUAAGUACACAAUCACUUAGGAAACCCACCCUCAAAGGUAAUACUAUUAAGUAGGGUAACCAAACACUUAAACACUCCAUUGAGCAUCCAAUAGUUGAUAUCUCAAACAACUCUCACUCUAUAAGACUUAGUCGACUGAUGACACUUCACUCAACUCUCUCCCAGGUCAAAACCCUUCAUAGGUAGUCCUUUUCGAGGAAUUGACAACCAAUUCUAAUACCAAGUAAUAAGUACCCAAGCACUUGGAGAACCCACCCUCAAAAGCUAUCUAUUAAGGGGGCAGAACUAAAAAACGUAAAUACUCCAUCGCACAUCCCAUACGACUCGAUGUGGGAUUUGGGCACCCUAUAAUACCAAGUUCCUAUCAUGAUGACAUGGAGGUGAAGCAAUGGAGUAGUGAUAAUUGCUAAAGUAACCAUGGUGAUGGUGAUGAAACUAAUGGUGAUAGUGAAAAUGAUGGUUGCUACAACAAAGAUGAUGAUGAUUAUGAUGAUGAUGGUAAAAGCAAUGUAUAUAAGGGUGGUGGCAACAACAGUGGCACGGGUGAGGGAGGUGACAACAACAAGGGUGUUGGUGGUAGUGGCAACAACUACAAUGGUGGUGACAAUGAUAGAAGUGAGGGUGGGUAGUGAGAGAGCGAGAGAGAAGUCAACUAUAACUAUCUCAUCAUGUUGUCUUCUAACUAAACUCUACCUAAGUAGAAAAAAU
rnacentral:lncRNA from 1 species